CUACGGGUUGCAGCAGUGGGGAAUAUUGGACAAUGGGGGAAACCCUGAUCCAGCAAUGCCGCGUGUGUGAAGAAGGCCUGCGGGUUGUAAAGCACUUUCGGUUGGGAGGACUGCUUCUAGCACUAAUAUUGUUGGAAGUUGACGUUACCUUCAGAAGAAGCACCGGCUAACUCCGGCCAGCAGCCGCGGUAAUACGGGGGGUGCAAGCGUUAAUCGGAAUUACUGGGCGUAAAGCGCGCGUAGGCGGCUAGAUCAGUCGGGUGUGAAAGCCCCGGGCUUAACCUGGGAACUGCAUCCGAUACUGUCUAGCUUGAGUACAGGAGAGGAGAGUGGAAUUCCACAUGUAGCGGUGAAAUGCGUAGAUAUGUGGAGGAACACCAAUGGCGAAGGCAGCUCUCUGGCCUGAUACUGAUGCUGAGGUGCGAAAGCGUGGGGAGCAAACAGGAUUAGAUACCCCUGUAGUC
rnacentral:rRNA from 1 species